UUCUAGCAUCUGCCCCGGGCUCCCAGAGCUCUCGGGGGCCCUGGGCUGUGGCACGGGGGCCUCCUCCGCGGGGUGGCGCCUUCCGCCCCUCCCCGUUGGGCGGCCUCCGGCAGGCCCCGUUCCUCCCCGCGAACGCCACCGAGGUGCCCGCGAUGGGGGCUCCGCCGAUUGGCUGUGCGACGCGUCGCUCGGGCCGGCCCCGCCCCGCGGGCCCCGGGGGUACUAACCCCGUGCGGGCGGCCGCGGCCCCGCCACUUGAUUCUGGAGGAUUUGUUCUGGGGCUGUGGCCGCGGAGUCGAGGCGGCCGCGGGCAAGCUUCGGGGAGGGAGGCGGCGUUGGCGGGGGCGGCGGCACAGCCCCGCGCGGGCCCCGCCGCGGCCCAGGCAGCCGGGACAGCCGCGAGGGGCGGCCACACGCGGUGCCGCGCGCCGGGGAUGCGGGACUAGCCGGGCAGGCUGCGGGCGGCCGUCGGGCUAGCGAGGCCUCGCAGCGGGCGGGCCCUGGCGAGUAGUGGCCGGGCGCCGCCCCCUGCGCCCUGAGGCCCGGGCCCCGCCGCUUCUGCUUUCCCGCUUCUCGCGGCAGCGGCGGCCGAGGAGGCGUCCGCGCCGGCCGCCCCCGGGGGAAGCCGCGCAGUCGCCGCCCGCCCGGCGCCCUGACGGCC